AUACGGAGGAUCCGAGCGUUAUCCGGAUUUAUUGGGUUUAAAGGGAGCGUAGGCGGAUUAUUAAGUCAGUUGUGAAAGUUUGCGGCUCAACCGUAAAAUUGCAGUUGAUACUGGUAGUCUUGGGUGCAGCAGAGGUAGGCGGAAUUCGUGGUGUAGCGGUGAAAUGCUUAGAUAUCACGACGAACUCCGAUUGCGAAGGCAGCUUACUGGACUGUAACUGACGCUGAUGCUCGAAAGUGUGGGUAUCAAACAGGAUUAGAUACCCUGGUAGUCCACACAGUAAACGAUGAAUACUCGCUGUUUGCGAUAUACAGCAAGCGGCCAAGCGAAAGCAUUAAGUAUUCCACCUGGGGAGUACGCCGGCAACGGUGAAACUCAAAGGAAUUGACGGGG
rnacentral:rRNA from 1 species